UACGUAGGGGGCAAGCGUUGUCCGGAUUUAUUGGGCGUAAAGAGCGUGUAGGCGGCUUUACAGGUCCGUUGUGAAAACUCGAGGCUCAACCUCGAGACGCCGGUGGAAACCGUAAAGCUAGAGUCCGGAAGAGGAGAGUGGAAAUUCCUGGUGUAGCGGUGAAAUGCGCAGAUAUCAGGAAGAACACCCGUGGCGAAGGCGGCUCUCUGGGACGGUACUGACGCUGAGACGCGAAAGCGUGGGGAGCGAACAGGAU
rnacentral:rRNA from 1 species